UACCCCGGAAUUGGCCGAUAAUUACUUCCAACCUCUGAAAACUGGGUCACGCAGAAACUGUGUUUCCUUUUAAAGAUUUGGAGUAAAAUCAGCGUGAAGUUCAGGAACCAUGAGUAAAGUUUAUGUUAACAUCUAGGAACUUGACUAAGUACUUGGAUCCGCUUCUGUGUUUGUAUGGUGAAGAACAUGAAUUUUCAGCAUUAAGGGUGUUUAGCAUGAAGGCAGAAGGAAGGCCCCAGUUGACUUCCUGGAUUAAAAAAAACAUGUUUAUAAAAGUUGAGGUUUCCGUCAAGUAAAAAUAAAGGAAACUUCCUCAUUGUUACAGCAA